rnacentral:lncRNA from 1 species
ACUGGUGGCACUCUGGCAUCCCAGUGGUGAGACAGACACGAAUACCACAGUACUUGAGGAAGUCUGUUCUCUCCUUUCACCAUGUGGGUCGUUGUUUCUACCCAAUGGCUCUUGUGAAUGAUGCUGUACCCCGUUGUAGAGAGCAUCUUUACAUUCCUGGGCUCUGUAAACUUGAAUUCAUAGAUGGUCCCAGCAGCUGAAUAUGUAAGAGGUGACUGGAGAAAAGAAUAAAAAGGGAUGGAUUCUGCCUGGAUGGUCGGGAGGCAUCUCUGAGAAGAUGAAUCAAGUUGACAGGAAUAUCAUCAGUGUUGUGGUCUGGGCCUCCAGCCAUCCGGGCAGCAUGGUUCUACACACCCAGAGUAUUCACCGUCUGUCUCCUGGGAAAGAAAAGAAGAGGAGAGCAUCUCCCCCAUGCCCAAGAUUAUGAAAACUGCCAUAGCAAGG